rnacentral:lncRNA from 1 species
UUCACAAAGAUUGAUAGCCAUGGCCUUCCUUAUAAUGGAUGUGCUAUUACAGUUUUACAACCUUUAGGGGGGAAAGGACUCAUUUAAUAUUAAAGAUAGAAGAUGUAGAAGCAGAGCCAUCCAAUGUUCUUAGUAACCCCAUUCUAAGAUACUCUAAGGCCUGCCUGAACAAACCUUAUGUAACUAACAAGGAAGAGCAUAAUAGAGUUGAGCUAUAGACAUGUCAAACAAUUAAAGACCAGCCUGUUAGUCAUUACAAGGCAAUUAGGAAAUGUGUUUACUCAACUUUACCAAUAGACAACAAAGUUCUGCAAAGCUGCUAUUAAGUUUCAACUCUAGUAAUCUCUAGGGUUCUAAGGGCUCACAGUGAUUAUAAUAAUGAAGGUUAAUAAUUAGUGCAACUGCCAACCUCUAACAAGAGUAGGUUGAUAGACAAGUAAAUUAAGAGUUUGUUAUCAAUUCCAUAAAUGUGACUAUAAAAUCUGGUACUGACUUUCUGGUCCUGAUGCUAGAAUGAAGGUGGAGACCUUGCUGCCUGGAGGGAAUGUGCUUGGCCCACAAGCUUGUGCAAUAAUUUGACACCUAGCUACCGAACACAGUUCUGAUGAAUUGUACAGCGUGAGCCACAGGUGGAUGGUACUAUGAUUACACGUCAUUCAUAUCAUAUAAUUGGAUUUAGCAUGCUGUAAUCUUCAUUUCUCUGUAGGAGUAUGGACUAUGUUAGAAUGUGUCUGCCUUUGUUUGGAUUUUUUUAAUAUUAUAAUAAAAUAAACUUAGUUUU